rnacentral:rRNA from 1 species
AAGCGUUUAUGACCAGACUUUUUCCUAGUGGAUCAUCCGGUGUUCUCACCGGUGCACUUCGCUAGGCUUAGGCCAGCAUCGGUUUCCGUAGGGGGAUAAAAGCUUUAGGAAUGUGGCUCUUCGGGGGGUGUUAUAGCUCUAGGUGCAAUGUAGCCUACUUGGACUGAGGACCGCGCUUCGGCUAGGAUGCUGGCGUAAUGGU